UCGUUUGCCGACGUUUGAAGCACUCGCGAAUUGCAAUUAUUUGAAAUUUGAACAAAAAUACAGACCACAGUCGUACAGAGUUUUAGUAGUUCUAUUCAUACAUAUUAUUACAUAAUCACCAUGAAUAAGUGUAUUGUUUUUAGUAAAACAACUGAAGUAUCGCCUAGCCAUAUUAUGUUAGUUUUAAUUUGUAAUCUAAUUUGCUAAUUUUAGCGUGACGUUGCUACUCGUUGCUGGUCAUUAGCAGACAAAAUAUUGCACAAAUGCUCGAGAUGUGCAUGACGGCUAUGUAAGUGUGUCCGUCAGGAGAGUCGUCACGGGAGAGAGUAUACAGGGUAAUAGCUCACCACUAUAAUAUUAUUAUUUAAGUAGUUGUUAUUGAAGUAUUGACAAUUUUUCAAACGUUGACUUUCGAAGAUAAUUCUGCCGACUUAGAUGAAGACAUACAAUAUUGAAGCGAAUUAUGAAGCUUAAAGGCGAUACAAUUUUGCUGAGCAAGAAUCUAAUUUCAAUAACACAGAGGGCCUCAACAUAUUUAAAUUGCACGACUAGUAAAUCGCAUCUAAGAGAAAAUCAUAUUUCUCCAACUAUGAGUUUGAAGAAAAUGAACAGACAAAUAAAGGAUUUGGAGACGUUGCAGUUGAUUAAUUUAAUUCACCCAGAAAAUCCUUAAAAACUUAAUAAUGCCUAAUUCACAUACACUUAUAGUUGACACACAUAUUUUAAAUGUGUCUUGUUCUAAACAAUUGGAUCAAAAGCCACAUCCAGCUAUUAUCACACCCAUCAUUUGGGAUAUCGUAACUACUGUACCAAAUUUUUGGACAGACCUGGCUUCACGUGUCUGAAUGUUGCCGUAUGGUGUAGCUGUAUGGUGAGCUGUGAAAAGAUAUAUCAUAUUGAAGAUGUUGCUGAUUGGCUGUUAAAAACUUUGAGGUUUCCUACAAAGAGGAAAGACGAAGUUCUUUGAAAGAAGACUAAGCGAACACCAAUUACCUUCAGUUGCACUCUGAAUCAUGUUUGUGAUUAAAAUUAUUCGUCAUAGACUUAUUUAUAAUUAUAAGAAUACAUUAUUUUUAAAUUUUAUAAUUAGAGAAAAAAGUAUUUAAAAUCUUUAUUAAUUAUACUAUCGUAGUUUUCAUAUUUGUUGUAUUUAUAGUUUAAUUGUAAUUUAAAAUUUAGAAAUAUAUGACUAACGUGCUGUAAUUAAUUGUUAUAUUUACAGCAG